CGGACGGGUGAGUAACGCGUGGGUAACCUGCCUUAUACCGGGGGAUAACAGCCAGAAAUGGCUGCUAAUACCGCAUAAGCGCACAGAACCGCAUGGUUUGGUGUGAAAAACUCCGGUGGUAUAAGAUGGACCCGCGUUGGAUUAGCUAGUUGGCAGGGCAGCGGCCUACCAAGGCGACGAUCCAUAGCCGGCCUGAGAGGGUGAACGGCCACAUUGGGACUGAGACACGGCCCAG
rnacentral:rRNA from 1 species